AAAGGUACUCAAGGGCGCUAAAUGGAUGCCUAGACGUAUAUUACCGAUGAAGGACGUGGAAGACUGCGAUAAGCUUCGGGUAGCUGUCAACAAGCUUUGAUCCGGAGAUUUCCGAAUGGGAGAACCUAGCAUGAGUAAUGUCAUGUUGCCUCACGCUGAAUACAUAGGCGUGUAGAGCGGGAACCAACUGAACUGAAACAUCUUAGUAGGUUGAGGAAGAGAAAGUAAAUAACGAUUCUCGGAGUAGUGGCGAGCGAAACGGGAAGAGCCCAAACCUUAUAAGUUUUUGCCUGUUCGCAGGCAAAUAAGCUGAUAGGCGAAUGCUUACAAGGGGUUGUGAUAUUACACACGACCAAGCCAGAGAACUUGAAUUCGUUCGAGGUAUCUGGUUUGCGACUACUGGCUAUCAACGGUAGGUAAGGUAAGAAAACGGCGUGGUUAGCAGAAUAGUUUGAAUGGCUAGCCAAAGAACGUGAAAGCCGCGUAUGCAAAAACGACGCUGACCUUAUAUGUGUUUUAUCGAGUAGGACGGGGCACGAGAAACCCUGUUUGAAUCUGGCUGGACCACCAGCCAAGGCUAAAUAUAAUAUACGAUCGAUAGUGAACUAGUACAGCGAUGGAAAGGUGAAAAGAACCCCGGAAGGGGAGUGAAAUAGAUUCUGAAACUCAGUGCCUACAAGGAGUCGGAGCCCAGCUUGCUGGGUGACGGCGUGCUUUUUGUAGAACGAUCCAGCGAGUUAAUUUUUAGUGCAAGGUUAAGUCAGUUGACGGAGCCACAGUGAAAGCGAGCCUGAAUAGGGCGACAAGUACUAAGGAUUAGACCCGAAACCGGGUGACCUAACCAUGAGCAGGUUGAAGCUACUGUAACAGGUAGUGGAGGACCGAACCAGGAUACGCAGCAAAGUGUUUGGAUGACUUGUGGUUAGCGGUGAAAUGCCAAUCGAACUCGGAGAUAGCUGGUUCUCCUCGAAACAGUUUUAGGACUGGCGUCAUGUGGUAGCAGUCGGGGGUAGAGCUCUGUAAAGGACUGGGGGGAGCAAUCCUACCCACCCUUAACAAACUACGAAUACCGAUUGUGGAAUCAUGGCAGUUAGAACGGCGGAGCUAAGUUCGUCGCUCAAAAGGGAAACAGCCCAGACCAUCAGCUAAGGUCCCUAAAUUUACGUUAAGUGGGAAACAAGGUGAGAUUUCUUAAACAGCUAGGAUGUUGGCUUAGAAGCAGCCAUUCAUUUAAAGAGUGCGUAACAGCUCACUAGUCAAGAGAUCUUGCGUGGAAAAUGUAACGGGGCUAAACGUAAUACCGAAGCUAUGGGUUCAUACAUUUGUAUGGGCGGUAGAGGAGCGUUCCUAUCAGCGGUGAAGCAAUAUUGUAAAGUAUUGUGGAGCGUUAGGAAGUGAGAAUGCUGGAAUGAGUAACCAUAAGAUAGGUGAGAAUCCUGUCGGCCGUAAGAGCAAGGUUUCCUGAGCUAUGGUAAUCAUCUCAGGGUUAGUCGGGCCUAAGCCGAGGCGCAUAGCGUAGGCGAUGGACAUCAGGUUGAUAUUCCUGAACCGGCGUAGUUUGUACACUGUUCACGGAGAGAUAUUCAGAGCGGAUUCAUGGUUUAUCCGUCCAACCGAGCGGGAACGCAAAGGGAGUGAAAGUUACUCUGCGGAGUGAUGAUUCUGGAAAAGGCUCUGGCUAGAAAAGCAGGUGUACGCGUGGCUAUGUCCGCCCGUACCGCAAACCAACACAGGUGCUCGAGUCGAGUAGACUCAGGCUUACGAGUGAACCUUCGCUAAGGAACUCGGCAAUACAGCGACCGUAACUUCGGAAUAAGGUCUGCCCCCACUUCGGUGGAUAUGUUGUCGGUUUCAAAGCUAGCAGGUGUGGUUGAAGAGUAUCUUUAAUACAUCAAUUCUUCUUGAGAUAGAACCAAUAGCUUUUGGAACUGAAGCUCAACGCAUCUAGCGAUGUGGGGGCCGCAGCAAAAGAGCCCACGGAACUGUUUAUCAAAAACACAGCUCUCUGCUAACACGAAAGUGGAUGUAUAGGGGGUGACUCCUGCCCGGUGCUGGAAGGUUAAGGGGAGUGCUUCACGGUACGAACUGAAGCCCCAGUGAACGGCGGCGGUAACUAUAACCGUCCUAAGGUAGCGAAAUUCCUUGUCAGGU
rnacentral:rRNA from 1 species